UCUCCAUGUGCAAAUUUGCCCUGUCUUAAUGGAGGGAGCUGUACGGAUACUUGGGGUGUCGCAAUCUGUGACUGUGAGGCAGAAUGGUAUGGAGAACACUGUGAACAGGACGGUGCACUAUGUCAGAAUGGUGGAACUUACCAAGCAUAUCUUGAAGGUGACGAACCAAUAUGUGACUGCCCAGUCGGAUUCACUGGUACAUUCUGUGAGGAGACAAGUUAUCAGUUCGCGGGGCUGGGUUUAUUUUCUUUAAUACCCAUCACCUUGGCUGGUCUCGUUGUGGGUGGUCUGUCGCUGGCACUCUUCGUCUGGAAGGUCAACCGCUUAUAUACAAAGACCACACCACUCCUAGCACGCUCGGUAUCUGUGCACACACUGACCAUCUAGACGCCGCCACCUCGCUGCCAAAG